rnacentral:lncRNA from 1 species
CGCCUUGGUGUCUUCAUCUCUUGUCUCUGUUCCAAGUUGGGAAUCUCUCAGAAUGUUGGAAAUAUUUUGUCUCGUAGUGCUUAGCGCUGCUUAUAGCGCCUUAGCGUAGUUUGCCUUUUUACCGUUAUACAGUCUUUCUCCUCUAUAUAUAUGAAUUCUUUUAUCUUUUGUGAAAGCACAUAAACAGUUAAUAAAGUUGUUUCCUUCUUUGAUCUUCUUCCUCUCGCUCCUUCUAUUUGUUGAUUAUAAUUAAUCAUGAAGCAUUUCUUCGCCCC